UAGGGAAUGAAGAUGGUUUUUUAGAAGGCGCAGAUUGGGUUUUUGAAGCAAAAAAGUCAGAUGGCGAUUAUCACGGGGAAAUGGAUGCUCAUAAUUUUGAGAAAUGGUUUAAGAUGGUUUUAGACAAAAUUCUGCCGGGAUCUGUAAUUGUAAUGGAUAAUGCUCCAUACCAUUCUCGCCAACUCGAACGAGUGCCCAACAUGAGCUGGAGGAAGGAUGCUAUACAAGAAUGGUUACGAA